rnacentral:misc_RNA from 1 species
CUAAGGAAUAUUACGGAAACCUACACACGCGUCGAAACUUUGUUUAGUUUUGAGAGAUUUAACUCUCAAAACUUGUUCUUUGAAAACUAGAUAAUAUCAAAUAUAUUUUUUCAUAAUGAAACCGAGAACACCGCAGUUUUUUGAGUUUUUUAUUGAAGUUUAAUUAUCGCUAAACUCAUUAAUCGCAUUUACCGUUAGGU